AUGCUCUUGCUUAUUGACUCUGGCAGCACACACACGUUUGUAAAUAAGAGCUUUGCAGAGCGUGCUGGUUGUACUAUUCAGUCAGUGCCAACAGUUUUAGUUAAGGUAGCAAAUGGACAAAUUUUGUCAUCUGAUGCUCAAGUACAAGGGUUACAGUGGUGGACACAAGGAUCUACAUUUGUCACUUACAUGAGGGUCCUGGAGCUUGGGGCCUAUGAUGCCAUAUUAGGCAUGGACUGGCUCGAGCAGUUCAGUCCUAUGCUCUGCCAUUGGCGUCAGAAAACAUUAACAUUCAAUUAUCUGGGAAAAUCUAUUACACUGCAGGGUGUCCUUUCUAAACCACAAGAGUCACUCCAGGAAAUGUCUGUGGAACAGCUAAAUAAGUGGAUUUCUGGGAAUGAGGUCUGGUCCAUGGCUAUGAUUGAUCCUAUACAGCAAACAACAAAAUCUGUACCCAACAUAGUGCAAUCAGAUAUGCAGUCUUUACUCGAGGAAUAUCAUGAUGUUUUUUAUCAGCCCACUACUUUGCCACCACAUCGUGUUUUGGAUCAUUCGAUAUCGUUAGAACCAGGAGCUCAUCCAACAAACAGUCGCCCCUGCCGGUACUCUCCAUUGCAAAAGGACGAGAUCGAACGUCAGGUCUCGGAAAUGCUUGACAGAGGGGUGAUUCAGACAAGCAUGAGUCCUUUCGCGUCUUCGGUGCUGUUAGUUAAAAAGAAGGACGGCACUUGGCGAUUUUGUGUUGAUUAUCGUCGCUUGAAUUCCAUUACUUUGAAGAACAAGUUUCCCCUACCGGUCGUUGAUGAGUUGCUGGACGAAUUGGCUGGCACUAAAUUUUUCUCCAAGUUAGAUUUGCGCGCAGGAUACCAUCAAAUUCGCAUGAGGCCAGAGGAUGAAGAAAAGACAGCCUUUAAAACGCAUCACGACCACUUUCAAUUCCGAGUGAUGCCAUUUGGAUUAACGAAUGCGCCAGCCACAUUUCAGUGCAUUAUGAAUCUCAUCUUUGCUAAAUACCUCCGCAAGUUUGUGAUAGUCUUCCUGGACGAUUUCUUGGUCUACAGUUCAUCUUGGGCAGAGCAUUUAGAGCAUCUGCGUCUGGUAUUCGAAACACUUCGUCAGGCUCAAUUCUUUGCUAAGUUAUCCAAGUGUUCUUUUGGGCAGAACAGUAUUGAGUAUCUUGGCCAUAUUAUCUCUGAUUCCGGUGUUGCAACCGAUCCCGAGAAAACAGUGGUGAUGGAACAGUGGCCAAUUCCUAAGACAGCAACUGAACUACGAGGAUUCCUUGGCCUAACAGGUUAUUACCGUAAAUUUGUUAAACAUUAUAGUCUGAUUGCUAAACCACUGUCCCAACUUCUGACCAAAAAGGGUUUCUACUGGAAUGAACAAGCAACACAAGCAUUUCUUGCUCCGAAACAAGCUAUGGCGCAGGCACCUGUCCUGGCUUUGCCCAAUUUUUCCGAGCCCUUCACCAUGGAAACUGACGCUUGUGACACUAGAGUGGGGGCAGUGUUAAUGCAGAAAGGGCAUCCAAUUGCAUACAUGAGCAAGGCUCUUGGGAUACUUAACUGUAAAAUGUCCAUCUAUGAAAAAGAAUUCCUUGCUGUGAUUAUGGCUGUGGAUAAGUGGCGUCCUUAUUUACAGCGCGGCCCAUUUCAGAUAGUCACCGAUCAUAAGAGCCUCUGCAACCUAGAGGAUCAAAUUUUGACUACUGAUUUGCAACGCAAGGCAAUGCCAAGCUCGUGGGUCUACAGUUUCAGAUUAAGUACAGAAAGGGCAGUGAUAAUGGUGCUGCUGAUUCCUUGUCCCGAGUGGGCCAUUUAUUGGAAGCACAUGCCAUUUCCACCUUGCAACCUGAUUGGGUCCAGGAGGUUUCCAAUUCCUAUGUCACUGACACAGUGGCCACUCAGUUAUUACAAGAGCUGGCAAUUCAAUCACCUAAUGCAAAAGGUUAUGCAUUGA
rnacentral:rRNA from 1 species